rnacentral:misc_RNA from 1 species
GGAGGACUUCCCUGAUUUUGGCAGUCAGGGAAAAAAAAAAAAAAACAAGAGUUAGUACCGUUUAUCCAUGCAAGGAAUGAUCAAAAGCCCUUCCAUACAUCAAUUAGCGUUCAAUUUAUAACAUCAUCAAUAAGCAGAUCCAAACGAAUUGAUGCUCCCAUUGCAAUAAAUAUGCAUGUCUGUGUGUGCGUGUAUUACAUAGAUGUUGGGGAAAGAGAGAGAGAGAGAGAGAUGGAUAGGCAAUCUAGAGCCACAAAAUAAUUGGCAAGCUAUACUUGUACCUCACAACAUAACAGGAUGAGAAAGCCGUGCUAAAGAAUGCCACCACGUUAAAAAUGUAAUGUUCUUUUUCAUUCAUUAAUAACUGUGACAUAAUGAACUUACCUUAAACAAAAGAUCAUAAGCAA